rnacentral:rRNA from 1 species
CUUUGGCUUUCACGCAGGCAGAUUCAUUUUCUGCCACCGAAUACAUUAGCAUGGGAUAAUGGAAUAGGACCCUGUCCUCCUAUUUUCAGUUGGUUUUGGCAGCGCGAGGACUAGGGUAAUGAUUAAUAGGGAUAGUUGGGGGCAUUAAUAUUUAAUUGUCAGAGGUGAAAUUCUUGGAUUUAUGAAAGAUUAACUUCUGCGAAAGCAUCUGCCAAGGAUGUUUUCAUUAAUCAAGAACGAAAGUUAGGGGAUCGAAGACGAUCAGAUACCGUCGUAGUCUUAACCAUAAACGAUGCCGACCAGCGAUUAGGAGACGUUGAAUACAAAACACCACCAUCGGCGCGGUCGUCCUUGGCGCGUUCGUGUUCACGCAAGAGCGCGGGAGGGCGGUUUAGCCCGGUGGCGCCGGUGAAUGACUCCCCAGUAGCUUAGAAAGAA